GACGAACGCUGGCGGCGUGCCUAAUACAUGCAAGUAGAACGCACAGUUUAUACCGUAGCUUGCUACACCAUAGACUGUGAGUUGCGAUCGGGUGAGUAACGCGUAGGUAACCUGCCUGGUAGCGGGGGAUAACUAUUGGAAACGAUAGCUAAUACCGCAUAAUAUUAAUUAUUGCAUGAUAAUUAAUUGAAAGGUGCAAUUGCACCACUACCAGAUGGACCUGCGUUGUAUUAGCUAGUAGGUGAGGUAACGGCUCACCUAGGCGACGAUACAUAGCCGACCUGAGAGGGUGAUCGGCCACACUGGGACUGAGACACGGCCCAGACUCCUACGGGAGGCAGCAGUAGGGAAUCUUCGGCAAUGGACGAAAGUCUGACCGAGCAACGCCGCGUGAGUGAAGAAGGUUUUCGGAUCGUAAAGCUCUGUUGUAAGAGAAGAACGGGUGUGAGAGUGGAAGGUUCACACUGUGACGGUAUCUUACCAGAAAGGGACGGCUAACUACGUG
rnacentral:rRNA from 1 species